AGCUUUGCGCAGUGGCAGUAUCGUAGCCAAUGAGGUUUAUCUGAGGCGCGAUUAUUGCUAAUUGAAAACUUUUCCCAAUACCUCGCCAUGAUGACUUGAAAUAUAGUCAGCAUUGGCAAUUUUUGGCAGCCUCUACGUAGA
rnacentral:snRNA from 1 species